rnacentral:lncRNA from 1 species
AAGAGGGUUUUUAAUUAAUAGGAACGGCAAAAAUCCUCAUGAUCCACAAGGGCCUUUCUUUGUUAAAUUUGGCAUUGGGCAUAAAGGGUUGGAUGUGCGCACAAUUUUAUAGCCUCGUCGAUAGGAAGAGCUAGGUACUGAGUGUAAGACUCUUUCGGCUCUGUCUUGCCAAAUAUACCUGUUUGAAUGCAGGUUGAUAUAAAAUUACUACUCUUUCGUUAGCAAGAAUUUUGGAAAAAAAAAUGCAUUUAGCAUAUCCAAAUAUAUUUGUUUUGGUUUCUAU